GGGGAAUAUUGGACAAUGGGCGCAAGCCUGAUCCAGCCAUGCCGCGUGGGUGAAGAAGGCCUUCGGGUUGUAAAGCCCUUUUGUUGGGAAAGAAAAGCAGCCGGCCAAUACCCGGUUGUUCUGACGGUACCCAAAGAAUAAGCACCGGCUAACUACGUGCCAGCAGCCGCGGUAAUACGUAGGGUGCGAGCGUUGUCCGGAAUUACUGGGCGUAAAGAGCUCGUAGGUGGUUUGUCGCGUCGUCUGUGAAAUUCCGGGGCUUAACUCCGGGCGUGCAGGCGAUACGGGCAUAACUUGAGUGCUGUAGGGGAGACUGGAAUUCCUGGUGUAGCGGUGAAAUGCGCAGAUAUCAGGAGGAACACCGAUGGCGAAGGCAGGUCUCUGGGCAGUAACGGACGCUGAGGAGCGAAAGCAUGGGUAGCGAACA
rnacentral:rRNA from 1 species